UACGUAGGGUGCAAGCGUUAUCCGGAAUUAUUGGGCGUAAAGAGCUCGUAGGCGGUGUGUCGCGUCGGCCGUGAAAACCCGCAGCUUAACUGUGGGCUUGCGGUCGAUACGGGCAUCACUGGAGUUCGGCAGGGGAGACUGGAAUUCCUGGUGUAGCGGUGAAAUGCGCAGAUAUCAGGAGGAACACCGGUGGCGAAGGCGGGUCUCUGGGCCGAUACUGACGCUGAGGAGCGAAAGCGUGGGGAGCGAACAGG
rnacentral:rRNA from 1 species